AGUUCCUGAAACCGUGUGCCUACAAGUAGUUAGAGCCCGUUAAUGGGUGAUAGCGUGCCUUUUGUAGAAUGAACCGGCGAGUUACGAUUUGUUGCAAGGUUAAGCGGAAAAAGCGGAGCCGUAGCGAAAGCGAGUCUGAAUAGGGCGCAUAAGUAACAGGUCGUAGACCCGAAACCAGGUGAUCUACCCAUGUCCAGGAUGAAGGUAAGGUAAUACUUACUGGAGGUCCGAACCCACGCACGUUGAAAAGUGCGGGGAUGAGGUGUGGGUAGCGGAGAAAUUCCAAUCGAACUUGGAGAUAGCUGGUUCUCUCCGAAAUAGCUUUAGGGCUAGCCUCGAGGUAAAGAGUCAUGGAGGUAGAGCACUGUUUGGACUAGGGGCCCUUCUCGGGUUACCGAAUUCAGAUAAACUCCGAAUGCCAUGUACUUAUACUCGGGAGUCAGACUGCGAGUGAUAAGAUCCGUAGUCGAAAGGGAAACAGCCCAGACCACCAGUUAAGGUCCCCAAAUAUAUGUUAAGUGGAAAAGGAUGUGGGGUUGCUUAGACAACCAGGAUGUUGGCUUAGAAGCAGCCACCAUUGAAAGAGUGCGUAAUAGCUCACUGGUCGAGUGACCCCGCGCCGAAAAUGUACCGGGGCUAAACAUAUUACCGAAA
rnacentral:rRNA from 1 species